UUUUUUAUUCUCUUCCAUCAUUCCUUAAGGCCCAUAGGUUUGAUCCUGUAGAAUCUGACCCAUUUUCUCAUU
rnacentral:tRNA from 1 species